GAAUCUUGCGCAAUGGGCGAAAGCCUGACGCAGCGACGCCGCGUGAGCGAUGAAGGCCUUCGGGUUGUAAAGCUCUGUGGGGAGGGAAGAAUAAGGGCUGGCUAAUAUCCAGUCCGAUGACGGUACCUCCUUAGCAAGCACCGGCUAACGCCGCACAAGCAGCCGCGGUAAGACAGAGGGUGCCAAAGUUGUGCGGAAUUCCUGGGCGUAAAGCGCGUGUAGGCGGCCAUGCAAGUCGGGCGUGAAAUCCCACGGCUCAACCGUGGAAGUGCACUCGAAACUGCGUGGCUAGAGUCCUGGAGAGGAAGGUGGAAUGCUUGGUGUAGAGGUGAAAUUCGUAGAUAUCAAGCGGAACACCGGUGGCGAAGGCGGCCUUCUGGACAGUGACUGACGCUGAGACGCGAAAGCGUGGGGAGCAAACAGG
rnacentral:rRNA from 1 species